UACAGAGGGGGCAAGCGUUAUUCGGAAUUAUUGGGCGUAAAGGGCGCGUAGGCGGUUCUUCAAGUCUCUCGUGAAAUCCCUCGGCUUAACUGAGGACGUGCGGGAGAUACUGAAGGGCUUGAGUCCGGAAGAGGGUGGUGGAAUUCCCAGUGUAGCGGCGAAAUGCGUAGAUAUUGGGAGGAACACCGGUGGCGAAGGCGGCCACCUGGGCCGGAACUGACGCUGAGGCGCGAAAGCGUGGGGAGCAAACGGG
rnacentral:rRNA from 1 species